AUUGAAACACUGGUUUUCAUAUGAUCACCAAAGUUAAGUGACGUCAAGCCUGGUCAGUACUUAGAUGGGUGACUGCUUGGGAAUACCAGGUAUUGUAA